rnacentral:rRNA from 1 species
UCGGGAAUUUUGGGCAAUGGGCGAAAGCCUGACCCAGCAACGCCGCGUGAAGGAUGAAGUAUUUCGGUAUGUAAACUUCGAAAGAAUAGGAAGAAUAAAUGACGGUAUCCGGAGAAGAAGCCCCGGCUAACUUCGUGCCAGCAGCCGCGGUAAUACGAAGGGGGCUAGCGUUGUUCGGAAUUACUGGGCGUAAAGCGCACGUAGGCGGGUUUGUAAGUAGAGGGUGAAAUCCCAGGGCUCAACCCUGGAACUGCCUUCUAGACUGCAAGCCUGGAGGUCAGGAGAGGCGAGUGGAAUACCGAGUGUAGAGGUGAAAUUCGUAGAUAUUCGGUGGAACACCAGUGGCGAAGGCGACUCGCUGGACUGAUACUGACGCUGAGGUGCGAAAGCGUGGGGAGCAAACAGGAUUAGAUACCCCCGUAGUCCCUGAGCGGGCUGGCAAGGCGCAU